rnacentral:misc_RNA from 1 species
GAUGAAGAACGUAGCGAAAUGCGAUAAGUAAUGUGAAUUGCAGAAUUCAGUGAAUCAUCGAAUCUUUGAACGCACAUUGCGCCCGCCAGUAUUCUGGCGGGCAUGCCUGUUCGAGCGUCAUUUCAACCAUCAAGCCCCCGGCUUGUGUUGGGGACCUGCGGCUGCCGCAGGCCCUGAAAACCAGUGGCGGGCUCGUUGUCACACCGAGCGUAGUAGAUUUUCAUCUCGCUCAGGGCGUGCUGCGGGUUCCGGCCGUAAAAAGCCUAUUUACCCAAGGUUGACCUCGGAUCAGGUAGGAAGACCCGCUGAACUUAAGCAUAUCAAUAAGCGGAGGA